UUAAAUGGGGCACAAGUGUGCCCUGCUUGAGAUCGUUGGUCAUCGUCGUCGCACUGACGCCGGUGAGCCAUUCAUACAUAUCAGUGCAAAACGUGGCUAUAUGCUGGAAAAUCCCAUGUAUCCCCUAUGCCGCAAGGUACGGGGUGGGGAUCAUCAGCAGGAAAGGAUCCGCAAGGAGAAUCCUCAGAGACUACACGCCACGCAACUUAAAAAGAACCAUCCGCGCCGAAGGCAAGCUCCGCUUGCCUGGAGGCGCACCUUUAAAGGGAAAGGAUGGUUCAUGGAAGGAAAACCGUAGGUUUGCCUUCCAUGAGUUGAUGAUAUAGUCCGAUCCCUCUAGCGAUAGAGGG
rnacentral:ncRNA from 1 species